rnacentral:rRNA from 1 species
AUUGGACAAUGGGUGCAAGCCUGAUCCAGCCAUCCCGCGUGAAGGAUGACGGCCCUAUGGGUUGUAAACUUCUUUUGUAUAGGGAUAAACCUUUCCUCGUGAGGAAAGCUGAAGGUACUAUACGAAUAAGCACCGGCUAACUCCGUGCCAGCAGCCGCGGUAAUACGGAGGGUGCAAGCGUUAUCCGGAUUUAUUGGGUUUAAAGGGUCCGUAGGCUGAUUUGUAAGUCAGUGGUGAAAUCUCACAGCUUAACUGUGAAACUGCCAUUGAUACUGCAAGUCUUGAGUGUUGUUGAAGUAGCUGGAAUAAGUAGUGUAGCGGUGAAAUGCAUAGAUAUUACUUAGAACACCAAUUGCGAAGGCAGGUUACUAAGCAACAACUGACGCUGAUGGACGAAAGCGUGGGGAGCGAACAGGAUUAGAUACCCUGGUAGUCCACGCCGUAAACGAUGCUAACUCGUUUUUGGGUUUUCGGAUUCAGAGACUAAGCGAAAGUGAUAAGUUAGCCACCUGGGGAGUACGAACGCAAGUUUGAAACUCAAAGGAAUUGACGGGGGCCCGCACAAGCGGUGGAUUAUGUGGUUUAAUUCGAUGAUACGCGAGGAACCUUACCAAGGCUUAAAUGGGAAAUGACAGGUUUAGAAAUAGACUUUUCUUCGGACAUUUUUCAAGGUGCUGCAUGGUUGUCGUCAGCUCGUGCCGUGAGGUGUUAGGUUAAGUCCUGCAACGAGCGCAACCCCUGUCACUAGUUGCCAUCAUUAAGUUGGGGACUCUAGUGAGACUGCCUACGCAAGUAGAGAGGAAGGUGGGGAUGACGUCAAAUCAUCACGGUCCUUACGCCUUGGGCCACACACGUAAUACAAUGGCCGGUUCAGAGGGCCGCUACAUAGCGAUGUGUUGUAUAUCUCGAAAGCCGGUCUCCGUUCCGAUUGCAGUCCGCUACUCGACUCUAUGAAGCUGGAAUCGCUAGUAAUCGCUCAUCAGUCAUUGCCUCGGUGACCACGUCCCCCGGGCCCUUGCUAAUCUCUUCUCGUAAGCCAUGGCAGUCUGGGGUACCUUAAAUCGCUGACCGCAACUGUACUCCCCUAGGCCAAUACCGGCAACUAGGGCU